AGAACGAACGCUGGCGGCAUGCCUAACACAUGCAAGUCGAACGCUUUUGGGGCUUCGGUCCCAAAGGAGUGGCGCACGGGUGAGUAGCGCGUGGGAACCUGCCCUGUUGUGGGGGAUAACCGAGGGAAACUUCGGCUAAUACCGCAUACGCCCGGGGGAAACUCCGGGGAAAGAUUUAUCGCAGCAGGAGGGGCCCGCGUCGGAUUAGGUAGUUGGUGGGGUAACGGCCCACCAAGCCUGUGAUCCGUAGCUGGUCUGAGAGGAUGAUCAGCCACACUGGGACUGAGACACGGCCCAGACUCCUACGGGAGGCAGCAGUGGGGAAUAUUGGACAAUGGGCGCAAGCCUGAUCCAGCAAUGCCGCGUGAGUGAUGAAGGCCUUCGGGUUGUAAAGCUCUUUCGCACGCGACGAUGAUGACGGUAGCGUGAGAAGAAGCCCGGCUAACUCGCGCCAGCAGCCGC
rnacentral:rRNA from 1 species